AUUACCCACUCCCGGCACGGGGAGGUAGUGACGAAAAAUAACGAUACGGGACUCAUCCGAGGCCCCGUAAUCGGAAUGAGCACACUUUAAAUCCUUUAACGAGUAUCCAUUGGAGGGCAAGUCUGGUGCCAGCAGCCGCGGUAAUUCCAGCUCCAAUAGCGUAUAUUAAAGUUGUUGCGGUUAAAAAGCUCGUAGUCGGACUUGUGUCACACGCUGCCGGUUCACCGCCCGUCGGUGUCUAACUGGCAUGCACGUGCUGACGUCCUGCCGGUGGCCCAAGCCGGUCCGGGAGCUCUGGGUGCGGGAUUCCCUUCGGGGGCCCGCCUCGAACCCGGUGUCCGGGGAGGGCCUACUCAUACCCCUCGCGGUGCUCUUAACCGAGUGUCUCGAUGGGCCGGCACGUUUACUUUGAACAAAUUAGAG
rnacentral:rRNA from 1 species